ensembl:miRNA nbr-mir-10569 nbr-mir-10569
UCAUUGGAGUUCUGCUCGGCGCUGGUCUGAAGGCGGGACCGAGCAGAACUCUGACGAGC